rnacentral:misc_RNA from 1 species
CCGAGUUUACAACUCCCAAACCCCUGUGAACAUACCUAUACGUUGCUUCGGCGGAUCCGCCCGCGCCCCAUAAAGGCCGGAUCAGGCCCCGCCGAGGACCCCUAAACUCUUGUUUCUUAGUGAAUCUUCUGAGUAAACAACAAAUAAAUUA